rnacentral:rRNA from 1 species
UACGUAGGGGGCAAGCGUUGUCCGGAUUUAUUGGGCGUAAAGAGCGUGUAGGCGGUCAGGUAGGUCCGUUGUGAAAACUCGAGGCUCAACCUCGAGACGCCGAUGGAAACCAUCUGACUAGAGUCCGGAAGAGGAGAGUGGAAUUCCUGGUGUAGCGGUGAAAUGCGCAGAUAGUCAGGAAGAACACCCGUGGCUAAGGCGGCUCUCUAGUACGGUACUGGACGCUGAGACGCGAAAGCGUGGGGAGCGAACAGG